rnacentral:lncRNA from 1 species
AUGCUAAGCUGACUCAGAACUACUCAUAGAUCCUGUACUGCUAAAGAAAAAAGAAUCCAUUCAAUUGGCAAGUCAGACUUUGUAAAGAAACUGGAAUAUCGAGCUGCCUGACUAGCAGAAAGGAAGAUGGAUGACUAUUCCUGAAUUAGGUGCUGGAAAUGUUGCCCAAAAUAACGAGACUAUGGACUGAAACAACAUUGAGAUGUUUGGAUGACAGCCUAAAUCUGAUGAACUGUAGAGCCCAUUCACACCAGUGCUCUCAGAGACAAGAAGUCGAGCCCUUCACAUAUCUAAUAUGA